GGGACGGGGACGGGUGUGCGGACGAUUAGCUAGUUGGCGGGGCAACGGCCCACCAAGGCGACGAUCGUUAGCUGAUGUGAGAGCAUGGUCAGCCACACGGGCACUGAGACACGGGCCCGACUCCUACGGGAGGCAGCAGUAAGGAAUAUUGGUCAAUGGGCGCAGGCCUGAACCAGCCAUGCCGCGUGGAGGACGAAGGCCCUCCGGGUCGUAAACUCCUUUUACCCGGGACGAAAAAAGCCCUUUUGAGGGCACUUGACGGUACCGGGGGAAUAAGCACCGGCUAACUCCGUGCCAGCAGCCGCGGUAAUACGGAGGGUGCGAGCGUUAUCCGGAUUCACUGGGUUUAAAGGGUGCGCAGGCGGGCUUUUAAGUCAGCGGUGAAACCCGCGGGCUCAACCCGCGGACUGCCGAUGAUACUAGGGGCCUUGGAUGUCGCUGAGGGCAGCGGAAUGGGGCAUGUAGCGGUGAAAUGCAUAGAUAUGCCCCGGAACACCGAUUGCGGAGGCAGCUGCCUAAAGGACGAUCGACGCUGAGGCACGAAAGCGUGGGUAGCGAACAGGAUUAGAUACCCUGGUAGUCCACGCCCUAAACGAUGAUUACUCGACGUCCGCGGCAUACUGUGGGCGUCCAAGCGAAA
rnacentral:rRNA from 1 species